GUCGCCAUUUUGUAAGCGCCCUGCCUAAGAGUGUGUCAUGGACUUCAGCUGGAUUAAAUGUGUAUUACCCGGGAGGAACUGUAAAGAACCAGCCAGACAGCCCGCCCGCCGAGCUGCCCACCCGGCCGUGCUGUACUUUGUGUAUGCCAACAUGCCGACAUGCUGUAAUUUGUUAGUACUUCAAGAUCAUAUAAUGGAAAAUUGUAUCCAAACUGAAGUAUAAUUUGACGAGCCUGGUUGCUGUAGCCACAGGGAUAUGUUCAAGGACAAGAACCAGUGCUGAUCAUGAUGUGCCAAUAAGCUCCAGUUAGCUGUGCCUUUUUCCUCCCACCGGUAGUCCUUCAAUCUGAAUCCAGGAGAUGCAGCUCUGAAUCCAAUAUUUCAGGAGAAUGAAUAUAAAACUGAAGCCUUCAGGAAGUCAAUGCCACCAUGGUAUUGAUUUAUUCAGCUCUGAUGUACUCAGCUGUGAUGUAACAUGCCUUCAAGCCACUAUCCGAAGAACAUUCAGACGUUCUAAAUGGACCAUUGCCCUGUUGCCAUGGAAAUCAUUAUGAGGAGGAGCACACAAACUGUCACUUGUUUUGGAUAUCAGAUGUACCACGAACUGACCAUAAACUUUUCAGAUGCUCUGUUUAUUUCAUCAGCCAAUUUCGAUGUAAAUUUUACUGAAUAAUGACAAACAGUCUUACUCAUAAGCAUCUCUUACUCAUUCGUUUUCGUAUCGCAUUGAGACUUGAUACAAUGGUACUCAACCAUCCAACCUACUUAAUUAACCAAGUUAGAUAACUCUACUUUGCAUUUAAUGCAAAUUAUAGGCUUUUAUUAUUUGACUAAGAAAUUCUGGUUAAGGUUUUGCAUGCAAGCACACAUAGGUAAAUAUCUCAUUAAGUACUUGAGGUAUUGCAUUGAGGCUUGAAACAAUG